rnacentral:lncRNA from 1 species
UCUCUCUCUCUCCUUCCCUCCCUCUUAUCUCUAUAUUCUAUUCAGAAAAUGUUUCAGUUAAAAAGAAUCUUUCCUUUUAUAUUUCCAUCUUAAGGAGAAAAUAUGUGCUCUGUGUUUAAAAUGAAGCUCUAAGGUACAUUUACCUUCAACUCUUUUUCUUUUGGUAGCAGUUAAAUAAUAUUGUGUAAAGCUAAAACAAAACAAAAACAAAGAAACAAUAAAAAAAAUCAUUCUGUAAAGGCAUUUGUUUCUCUGACUUGAAUUUUAAUGAGAAAAACAUCUUUGUUUUAACACUCCCCAAAGUAUCCAUAUCAUUGGUGCUUUUUUAAAAAAGAUAUUUAAGUUUGAAGAUUAAUUGCAGAAUUUUAUAUAUAUUGACAUAUUGAACAAGAAAAAUAAAUUAUUAAAUGAUGGCUAUUUCAAGAUUUCUCUUUUGAAAAGAAUGCCCUCUUGUGAAGCUAAUUUUCAGAUGUCUACAAACAUUGGAAUUUUGCAAGCAUACAUUUAGGCCAAAUUAGAAUUAGGUAAAAAUUUCACUCUGCCAACCUCCCUACAAAGGCUUUCUUCCAAAGAUGGGAAAAUGCUAUCCUAAACUUGUUUUUACUGAGAAACCAUAAGGUAUUGUCCUUCAGACAACCAAGAUUUUAAAUAUUCAUAUUGUUAACAUAGCUCAGUAAAAAACUUCUAAAGCAUCAGAAUUGUUGAUGCUGGACUAACUACCUGGUGGCACACACAUGCCUGUGAUGCCAGCGAGGCCAGAGGCAGUGCUUGGCGUAUCACUGUUUCAAGGCUCGGCAGGCCUUCCCUGUAACCUCAAGGUUAGCUUGGGCAACGUUGUGAGAUCCUGUAUCAAAAUUUUUCAAAAAGCAGAAGCAGGGGCUAGGAACCUAGAGCAAUUUUAGUGUUUCGCUAGCAUCCACGAGGUCCUAGGUUAGAGCCCUAGACCUCAAGAUGAUGAUGGCGACGACAAUGACAAUAAAGUAAAGAUAAAGUGGAUUCUCAUGUAACUUGUUUAAUAAUAACUCAAUGAAUGCACGGUAUGGGCAAAGUAUUUAAAUGCCAGCUGUCUCACUAGGUUCUGUUUCACAAGAACUUAACAGCACAUGAGCUGCCUAUUCUUCUUUGUUCAGUCUACUCUAGUCAAGCCAGGGGUGCGCUGAGCUUUGUAAUGGUUAUGAGCAGACUACUGACAUAGCACAGUGGAAGGAAGUCUCCACAAAGCGCAGAGCACUGUCAGUGGCUGUGACUAGGACGUGAGGAUCAGGCUGGUCUCAUUUCAGGUUUAUGAACCUCACUUUUGCUCACUUUUUUUCUUUCUUUUUAUAAAUCUUGUCCAGCAGUAUCGUGAGUGAUAAAGCUUUAGUUUAAGUUUAAUGAAGUUCAAAAUGUGUAAGCAUCCACUCUCGUUUCAAGUUUGCAGUAAUCCCUUGAGACUUAGGUUGGGAAAGUGCUCAUUAUUCCUCUUUCACAGAUUGGAAACUAAACUUAAGAAAUUGGUGGGGAUUUGUUUAAUGUUUAUAAUGGGUACAAAGAAAAAACACAUUAAAUAAUAAAGUACAAUUUCCACAUUGUGGGAAGGCUGAAGGCCAUGCAAGGAAAGUGACUUAAUCAGUGGUGUAUACAUAAUUAGUUAGUGAGAUAUAGCAGUAUCUUAGUAUAGUAUUAUUUCUAGGUGUUUUCUCAACAAAUGUGUGUUCCCACCUUACUCAAUGCCUAAAAGAGAAAUGAACUUGCUCUGAGCAAAUGAGAAUGUAGAACACUUGUAGAGCACUUACUGGCCUUGAGCAUCCACGGACCUGGGUUCCAUCCCAAGGACUGCACCAGAACUAAGCAAAAGGGAGACAAAUGGCACUAGGAAAAUCUCCAAGUAAAACAUUUCAAAAUAAAUGAUAUUUAUUUCAAAAUAAAUGGGUCUUCACCCCCAGUGACUGCUGCUCUUUUUUAGUAUCCACAGUUAACUGUAGAAUAAUCCCUUAAAUCAAAAUUAGCCAUGUUAUAUUUGCCUUUAUGGCAUUUGCUUUUCAACCUAAAAUAAUAUAGUGACAACAAACUAUUGCUAGAUCCUGAUACUUUUUUAAAGACAUUUGUAGUAUCAGCAGAAGCAAGUACCAAAGCAGUAGUAACAAAGCUCUGUGGUGCUGGCACAUAAUAGCAAUGUGGAAGACAUUCUAGCUCUGUCUCUUCUAAAUUACACAUUGUCAGAGCAGAGGCCUUAGCUCAAGUGAUGGAGGGCUUGCUAGCAUGCAUGGCCCCACAUUCAAUCCCCAGCAUGGCAACACCAACAGCAAAGUAAAUUAGAUAAUUAAUUACCUUAACUACAAUAUGCUUGGAUUCACUAGUUUCAAGGCUAUUAAGAGAAACUUAUAAAGGAAAAAUAUCUUCAGGGCUGCACUGUGUCUCUGUAACUCUGUGAAUAAGUCUACAGAAAAUGCUUUCCUCUAUUUAAAACCUGAUAAGAAACGAAGCCGUAAUUUUACAUUGCACUUUGCCCAUCCACAAGUCCAUGGUACUUUUCCUUGUAAACUUUCACAUUUCCAUAUUUCCCUAGGAAAUAAGCAUCCUUGCCUCCUUUGUCUAGCUCUGCUUGUUUUCCUUAUUCCCAUUUCAGUCUAAGGCGCUCUGGCAGUUUGUGGCACCCGCUCGUUAAUUUCUUGAUGAAUGGCUAAAGAGGCCAAGAAGUGCAUUUGGUUCAACGUGUCUUCUAAGACAGAUGAUCUCAAAUAAAUUCUCCUCUCAAUCAGAUUUUGAUUUGUUAGGUGAUAAACCAAUUCUUUCUAAGGACAGUGUUUACAAGCCUUGUAAUGAGACAGCCCUCUGAGACCUUACCUCCUUUUGCUGUAAUGUUGAUGGAUGAAACUCUAAUUCAUAAAGGAUAUUGUGAUUGAAAAGCACCUUUAAAUCUCAUAUACUCUAAUCUAGACAAAUGUUUGUUUCAGUUCCACAAAACUGGUAAGUUUACUGGGUUACGAGCGGGCUGAUAAUCAGCUCUGUGUGAAGGUACCAAUUCCUGUAGCGAAUAUCGGAAAGACUCAAAUGUUUGCUGCUUCAAAGCUAGAAGAAAACAGAUGCUAGGCUUGAUACAUUUCCAACUCACCUUCCUUCUAUCUCACAUUCUUUAUGGGUAGAUUUUUAUUGUGAUAACAUAGUCACAUAGAUCCAUUCUUUAAAAAACAAAACAACAACAACAACAAAAAACCAUAGUAAUGAUAUAAGGAAAAACCUGCUUAUUUGGCUGACUGAAACUUAAAGAACUUUGUUACUUUAAUGCAAAAAACUGGGCUCCAUUUCAUACAAAUUAGUACAAAUGAGUGAGAUUCUGAAACAUUUGAGGAAUUUUUACUGAGAGCUAUCCAGAGAUGACUCCUAUGUCUCAGUUCACUCAUUCAGGGCUUACCAAUCUUUGCUCCUUACCAGGCAUUGUGCUGAGUGCUAGAAAUACAGAGACAGACCUAAACUUCAGCAGGUCCUGUGUACCUACCAAAUGCCAGACCUUAAUGCUACAGAGAUGUCGUAGUAACAUAGUGUAGAGGGCAGGCACACAAGAGAUCCCACCUCCAAUAUGUAGUCAAAGAUAUCAGCUGUGACAUCGCACAGGGAUUACUUAGAACAGAUGUCUGGAGGAAGAGAAUUGUGAAGGGCAAUUAGAAAAAAAGC